rnacentral:snRNA from 1 species
GUGCUUGCUUCGGCAGCACUUAUACUAAAAUUGGAAUUAUACAGAGAAGAUUAGCAUGGCCCCUGCACAAGGACGACACGCAAAUUCGUGAAGCGUUCCAUAACUUU